rnacentral:rRNA from 1 species
ACGUAGGGGGCGAGCGUUAUCCGGAAUUACUGGGUGUAAAGGGUGCGUAGGCGGCAACGUAAGUCUGUUGUGAAAGGUGAUGGCUUAACCAGCGAAGUGCAAUGGAAACUGCGGAGCUAGAGUGCAGGAGAGGAAAGCGGAAUUCCUAGUGUAGCGGUGAAAUGCGUAGAUAUUAGGAAGAACACCAGUGGCGAAGGCGGCUUUCUGGACUGCAACUGACGCUGAGGCACGAAAGCGUGGGGAGCAAACAG